GACGAACGCUGGCGGCGUGCUUAACACAUGCAAGUCGAACGGAAAGGCCCUGCUUUUGUGGGGUGCUCGAGCGGCGAACGGGUGAGUAACACGUGAGUAACCUGCCCUUGACUUUGGGAUAACUUCAGGAAACUGGGGCUAAUACCGGAUAGGAGCUCCUGCUGCAUGGUGGGGGUUGGAAAGUUUCGGCGGUUGGGGAUGGACUCGCGGCUUAUCAGCUUGUUGGUGGGGUAGUGGCUUACCAAGGCUUUGACGGGUAGCCGGCCCGGGAGGGUGACCGGCCACAUUGGGACUGAGAUACGGCCCAGACUCCUACGGGAGGCAGCAGUGGGGAAUAUUGCACAAUGGGCGGAAGCCUGAUGCAGCAACGCCGCGUGCGGGAUGACGGCCUUCGGGUUGUAAACCGCUUUCGCCUGUGACGAAGCGUGAGUGACGGUAAUGGGUAAAGAAGCACCGGCUAACUACGUG
rnacentral:rRNA from 1 species